rnacentral:rRNA from 1 species
UACAGAGGGUGCGAGCGUUAAUCGGAAUGACUGGGCGUAAAGGGCGCGUAGGCGGUUCGUACAGUUGGGUGUGAAAUUCCUGGGCUUAACCUGGGGGCUGCACCCAAUACGUGCGGGCUUGAGUGUGGAAGAGGGUCGUGGAACUCCUAGUGUAGAGGUGGAAUUCGUAGAUAUUAGGAAGAACACCAGUGGCGAAGGCGGCUCACUGGUCCGGUACUGACGCUGAGGUGCGAAAGCGUGGGGAGCAAACAGG